GUCUACGGCCAUACUACCCUGAACACGCCCGAUCUUGUCUGAUCUCGGAAGCUAAGCAGGGUCAGGCCUGGUUAGUACUUGGAUGGGAAUACCGGGUGCCAUAGGCU